AAAAAAACAAACUCUGAAUUUUCGUGUCCAACUUUAACUAUCUGUCUCAUAUGAAGUUUUUUUAUAAUUCCUAUUUUCAUUGUUGUUAGAUGAUAAAAUAUGAUUAAUAUUUUAUACGUGACUUGUCUUUUUAAUUUUUUUCAUAAUUUUUUUAAAUAAGACGGACGGUCAAACGUUAGACACGGAAAUCAAGGUUUGUCUUUUUU
rfam:Oryza sativa Japonica Group DNA, chromosome 6, cultivar: Nipponbare, complete sequence.